UUCAACCUCCUCCGCGCUCUCUCUUUUUCUACGCAUUUSGAUCGCCGAAACCCUGGAUUAGGGUUCGCUCUCCUUCAAAAUCUUGCUUCAGAAGUGAAGAAAGUGUUCGUCGUCGCUGCGUAAUCGUUGACGGCCAUCUCUCAGGGUYUCGUUUCAGUUUCCUCCGGACCAAUAUCUCAACAUCUCCACAACGAYGCCUCCUCCUCCGGUUAUCGAAUGAAUACAUUUUUAUCAAAUGGAAGCAGUGAGGCUGGAGGAGAUUCAUCUCCUGCUUGUUAAAUGUUGAAACAGGGCACAAAUUGGAUUCUGCCGCACCCAUUACAUGGGCUCCCGGUGAGAUGGUCGGUUGGAACCCAAUCGAAGAGCGCCCGGAGCCUCCCCUGCUCGUGCAGCCCCAACACCUCCUCUGCUCCGCCAAUGUAACUUCCUCUGAUGAAGAGCUUAGGAGGUGGAGAACUGGAUUCGGAUUGAAGCCAUUGUAGUUUAGAUGCAGCUUGAGGACCGAGUGAAGGUUGGGAGCGGGCUGCUUGCUUUUCUUUAUUCCUGUACCUAACUCUUCUUCGGGGUAGUUCCCGCAAUUGAGGUUUCGCAUGGAUGGCCUCAUUUUGAGCAACGKGGAGAUUAUCAAUAAAGGCCAACACCGAUAUUACCAAACAAA